rnacentral:rRNA from 1 species
AAUUUUGGGCAAUGGGCGAAAGCGUGAUCCAGCAAUGCGGCGUGCAGGAUGAAGGCCUUCGGGUUGUAAACUGCUUUUGUACGGAACGAAAAAGCUCCUUCUAAUACAGGGGGCCCAUGACGGUACGGUAAGAAUAAGCACCGNCUAACUACGUGCCAGCAGGGGCGGUAAUACGUAGGGUGCGAGCGUUAAUGGGAAUUACUGGGCGUAAAGGGUGCGCAGGCGGUUAUGUAAGACAGAUGUGAAAUCCCCGGGCUCAACCUGGGAACUGCAUUUGUGACUGCAUGNCUAGAGUACGGUAGAGGGGGAUGGAAUUCCGCGUGUAGCAGUGAAAUGCGUAGAUAUGCGGAGGAACACCGAUGACGAAGGCAAUCCCCUGNACCUGUACUGACGCUCAUGCAGGAAAGCGUGGGGAACAAACAGGAUUAGAUACCCUGGUAGUCCACGCCCUAAACGAUGUCAACUGGUUGUUGGGAAUUAGUUUUCUCAGUAACGAAGCUAACGCGUGAAGUUGACCGCCUGGGGAGUACGGCCGCAAGGUUGAAACUCAAAGGAAUUGACGGA